AGGUAUCAUCACGGGGCUUUUGUGCCAACUGUCGUUGUCUCUUCUGGUACAUUUUGGUAAAAUCCUUUUUUUGGAACAUAGAAGCAAACCCCUGGCUUCUACCAACCCAACCCAAAGGCUAAGAAUAUCAUCAGAUGGUGCCUGAGACUUAUACUGAAGACUUGGCAGUUUUGCUCAAGCCCACUCCCAUUGGUUCCAACCAAUGUAUUAAAAAAACCCCUCCAUUUAUGAAUGUCUUUGUUCUUUCUCUAUUAAAACUUCAUGAAACUGCUUGCAUGUUGGAGUGAUCUGAAUCUGUUUCCAUAUUUGAACCUAGAAUAAAUGAUGCUUUUUUUUCUCCUUGA